rnacentral:misc_RNA from 1 species
GAUGAAGAACGUAGCGAAAUGCGAUAAGUAAUGCGAAUUGCAGAAUUCAGUGAGUCAUCGAAUCUUUGAACGCACAUUGCGCCCUGUGGUAUUCCGCAGGGCAUGCCUGUUCGAGCGUCAUUUCAACCCUCAAGCUCUGCUUGGUGUUGGGCCCUGCCCGCUGCGGCCGGCCCUAAAGACAGUGGCGGUGCCACCUGGCCCUGAGCGUAGUACAUCUCUCGCUCCAGUGCCCGGUGGUAGCCUGCCAGAACCCCAACUCUCGUGGUUGACCUCGGAUCAGGUAGGGAUACCCGCUGAACUUAAGCAUAUCAAUAAGCGGAGGA